rnacentral:sRNA from 1 species
ACCGCGGUCAACUUCGACCGUCUGCGAUCGU